CACACACAGCUAGCUCUUCAGGCCAGGCCCCCAGGGUUUCGUCCACCUCUCACCUUUGACGACGCGAAUGAAGAAUGAGGAGGUGCUGCGAUCGAACGACUGCGAGGAAACACACCCGCUCUCAUGGCAUUCCCAGUAAACUGAGAAGACGUGAUUAAACCUCAGGAUCUCCUACUAAUAGAGAAAUGUAUAACGAUUUAGCUACCAGAUCUGAAUACUGAAGGGUUGGUAGGGGACCAGAGAAUAGAGGAAGCAUUGUAGGUUCUAGAGUGGAGAAGGGACCAUCCAAAAUGGAGUUUGAAAGAGAAUUCUGGCCUUUGUGUUUAGAGUCUGGAAUUGUCAAGAGUCUGAAAGCACAGAAUAAGACUGCAGCUAGAGCAAUUUAGGCGCCAUAGUUUGUCAAAACAGAGACGGGAUCUCACUGUGUUGCCCAGGCUGGUCUCGAACUGCUGGACUCAAGUCAUCCUCCCAUCUUGGCCUCCCAAAGUGCUGGAAUUACAGUGGACAACCUUCAAUGCACUGGUACUUUGUACCCUGACCUCUACUGUGAUGAACACUCAACUUGGGCAAGGAAGUGAAAUUCUCCAAAGGCCCAGCACCUUAGCACCUGAGGCUGCUACCUGAGAAGUACGCACUGUUCUGGCUUCAUGGAGACCAUGCUCCAUUUCUGCUGUUGAAGUCUUUGAGAGACCAGGAUCAUGGGCUGAGUGCAACCUCCUCCCCAUGCCAUCUGCAGAGCCUGAAGAGGAAAACACAAAUACAAGUUGAGGCCAUCUCUUCCCCUAGGGCCUAACCUCUAAGCCUAGCAGCACAAACUCAGGAGCUGUUGUUUCAUUUAAUAAUAAAUAUGCAUCCUUGAAUUCAACGGAGGAACAUGCUCCUGGAAUUUAGAAGCAAGAGGGGCUGGGCGCGGUGGCUCACACCUGUAAUCCCAGCACUUUGGGAGGCCAACACGGGCAGAUCACGAGGUCAGGAGAUCGAGACCACCCUGGCUAACAUGGUAAAACCCUGUCUCUACUAAAAAUACAAAAAAUUAGCCGGGCGUGGUGGCAGGCACCUGUAAUCCCAGCUACUCGGGAGGCUGAGGCAGGAGAAUGGCGUGAACCCGGGAGGCGUAGCUUGCAGUGAGCGGAGAUCACGCCACUGCACUCCAGCCCGGGUGACAGAGCGAGACUCCGUCUCAAAAAAAAAAAGAAACAAGAAUUUUAGAAUAUAGAUAGUUUACUGAGUGUCCCCAUCUUGCUUCAUUUCAUUUUUGUAAACAUAAUCAGCUUCUGUCAGACUUAGGCUCAAGACUUAUAGACAGAGGAAAGUAUCUAACACAGUGAGUUUUGUUUUCUAACACAGUGAUUUUCUAAAGUAUCUGUGGUGACAAAGGAAAUUAUCUCCAGUCUAGUUCAGAAUAGAAAUGAUCAUAAUAAUCAUCUAUCAAACCUCCUCAUUUUAUAUAACAGGAAAAUGAGUUCCAGGGUCUGAGAGUUUAGUAGUUUAACCAGGAUUAAAAUUAAAUCCUCUUGAUUUUCAGUACAGUACUCUUACCAUCUCACCUGGUGACCUCUUUUACUCUGAGAGCAGGAGCUCCUCAGGAAUGUUUUACAUAUGUAAUGCUCUUUUCCCCUUAGCUUCUCUCAAAUCAUUUAAAUUUCUAAACAACCACUAAAUGCUUACCUCUUUUCAAAAUCUUUCUAGAUUGUUCAGUUGCUCUAAACUGGAUUGGUGACUCCCAAGGGGCUAUCCCCAAUCCAACUAAUUAAGUUUUCCAUUCCAAAACUGUAUAUGCCCCUGACCUACAUUUGAUACAUAUGUCCAUGGCCAAUUCAUGUCUUGAUUUGAUGAUUUGAUUCUAAUAUAUAUAUAUAUAUCUGGCUGAAGCUGAUAUUAUUCAUGUAAGUAUUGUAAGACCAGUUAUUUUCAGUAUUCCUGGGUACUUAAAUGCAGUGCUUUCAAUACCACCUCAGAUUCAUCUGGGAACUUUUAAAAAUAUAGCUUCCUGGAUGUUACCACAGAGCUGAAUCAGAAGGUUUGUGGUUGGUGCCUGGGAAUUUUCAUUUUUGAAAGGUUCCCAAAAAGUCUAAGAAAAUAUCCUUGAACAUUAUUGGGGGAAAUGGGAAAUGUUACAGUCUUCCUAAAAAACAACCUGGUAAUCUCCAAUAAAAUAAAAAAUAUAUUUAUCCUGUUGCCCAACGAUUCUAAUCCUGAGAAGAAGAAGAAAAAAAUACCAGUUCAUAACAACAUAUAUAUGAGAAUAUUUUCUACUGACAUAAUUUAUAGUAGCCAAGAACUAGAAAUAAAGUAAUGCCCACCUAUAGAAGAAUAAAUACAUUAUGGUUUAAUACCAGAUAUUGUCCAGCCACUUAAAAAGAUUGAACUGAGUUAAACUAGAUGAUUUGAAGAAAUUUUAAUGAAACAUUGUUGCAUUAAAAGGAAAAAAAUCUGUAAAAUGAUAGACAAGCAUUUGUUUAUGUAUAUGUAGGUCUACAUAGGAUUGUAUAAACAGAAAAUACAGUGUAUGCACACUAGAUAAUUACCUGGGGAAGUAGGGACUGGCUGUGAGAGAAGAGACAGGAAAAUUGUCUAUAAUAAAAACAGCAUGUGUGUUAUGUUCUUAUUUCUAUAAAAUUAAAAAA
rnacentral:lncRNA from 1 species